GGGGGGGGGUGGGGGGGGGGCUGGGGCGGGCGGGGGGGGGGGGGGGGUCGGGUGUGGCGGCGGGCGGGGGAGUAGCGCGUGGGAAUGUGCCCUUCUCUACGGACUAGCCCUGGGAAACUGGGCGUAAUAGCGUAUCCGCGCUAUUGGGGAACGAUUUAUAGUAGCAGGAUCAGCCCGCGUUGGAUUAGCUAGUUGGUGAGGUAAUGGCUUACCAAGGCAACGAUGCAUAGCUGACCUGAGAGGGUGAUCGGCCACACUGGAACUGAGACCCGGUCCAGACUCCUACGGGAGGCAGCAGUAGGGAAUCUUCCGCAAUGGGCGAAAGCCUGACGGAGCAACGCCGCGUGAGUGAUGAAGGUCUUCGGAUCGUAAAACUCUGUUAUUAGGGAAGAACAUAUGUGUAAGUAACUGUGCACAUCUUGACGGUACCUAAUCAGAAAGCCACGGCUAACUACGUG
rnacentral:rRNA from 1 species